AUAUAUUUUAAAUUUAUUUUUAAUGGAUUUUAGUAAAAUAUUUAAUAGUAAAAUAUAAAAUUUUCCUUGGCUAUUCUGUUCGUAAUGUAGACAUAAUGUCUAACUUACUUAACGAAGUGCACCAACUAGAAGAAUUAAUAUAUGAUGUACAACAGCAGCAGAGGAGGAGGAUGAAAUAGAUAAUUGUUUUACAAGUUCCAAAGGCGCAUUUAAAGUCAAAAGUAAUGUUUAUGCUUUGCCUGACUCUUUACCUUUACACACAGAGGAACAAUCAACUUCGUAUUCUGAGUCACUGUCUUUGCCUAACUUCUUUUUACCUUCAAAAUCAACUGAAAAGGAACAAUCAAAAUUUUUUUACAGAUUUUUUCAUAAUGGAUAGUAUGGAAGGAAAGGGGUGUGCAGUUAUAGCAUUAUUAGACGGGAAGAGAAAACCGUAUCAGAUAUAUAUCAGUAUCACUAGAUCUUAAUCCAUUGGAUUAUGCAAUCUGGUCUAAACUGGAGGCGAAGGUGUGCUGCAAACCUCACACUUCCGUUGAUGCCCUCAAGCCAUCACUUCUCAGAGAAUGGGAUGCUUUAUCCAUGGAUACCGUGCGUAAAUCAAUUGAGGAAUGGCGUCCAAGACUGGAGGCGUGCAUACGGGCAAAAGGGGGUUAUUUCGAGGACUCUCUUUAUUAAUGUGUACUUUAGCAUUUUAACUAAAAUAUAA
rnacentral:lncRNA from 1 species